CCAAGUGUUUUGUAGUCCUGUACAAAAUUGCAAAGCAUUUGGAUUUAUAUUUCCAUCAUAAUAUACAACCAAACUUUGUCCGAUGAUGUCCAUUUUAUGAAAUAUCAUGUGGUGCGACCAUCAAGAAACGACCACUUUGGGACAAUUAUGUUGCAACUUCCUGUUUUUGAAUGGAUAUCAUCAUUGACCAGUUUGCCAAGGACCCAUGGAAUCAGCAACAGAUGCCAGACAGCCUCCGCCAUGAUGAGGAGGGAGUGUGGGCACACCUGGAGCCCAUACUGAAAGAGCUUCAGGCAACCUGCCCAAAGAUUACAGUUCUACAUGUAGCCAGUGAUGGACCUGUAGUUGAAUCCCCUGUAAAGACGUCAUGGAGCUUGCGCAUAAAGUGAGAAGUCGAGAUCCAACUAGCAAUCUACCGAUUGCUGAACGACUUCUCUACCACCUGAAAUCACUCUUACCACAGCACUCCAACAGGACUAGUUCGAAUCGGGCACUUCGCCAUAACCCUCGUUUGUGUUAAAUAACUGUUUUGAAACUUCCGUCUAUAAUAUAAAUCUUUUCACGUCAGAUUUUCUCAUAUAGGCUAUUGCGGACACUU